GACCCUUCUGCGCACUCCGCCGCGCACGUCCUACUCGUUACGGCAUAAUACGCGUGCGCUUUGACACGCACGCGCCGAUUGCCGGUAACGGUAGUGUAUAGGCAAAACGCUUCAGCGCCAUCCAUUUUCAGGGCUGGUCGCUUCGGCAGGUGAGUCGUUGCACACUCCUUAGCGGAUUCCGACUUCCAUGGCCACCGUCCUGCUGUCAUGAGCGACCAACGGCUUUCAUGGUGUCCCAUGAGCGUUUUUUAGGCGCCUUAACACUACGUUUGGUUCAUCCCACAGCGCCAGUUCUGCUUAC